rnacentral:rRNA from 1 species
GGCUUCUAACCAGCCGCCGUGAACCGGCGGUGGGACAAUGCCAGACGGGGAGUUUGACUGGGGCGGUCGCCUCCGAAAGGGUAUCGGAGGCGCCCAAAGGUUCCCUCAGAAUGGACGGAAACCAUUCGAAGAGUGCAAAGGCAGAAGGGAGCUUGACUGCGACACCGACGGGUGGAGCAGGUACGAAAGUAGGGCUUAGUGAUCCGGUGGUAUUAAGUGGGAAUGCCAUCGCUCAACGGAUAAAAGCUACCCUGGGGAUAACAGGCUUAUCACUCCCAAGAGUUCACAUCGACGGAGUGGUUUGGCACCUCGAUGUCGGCUCAUCGCAUCCUGGGGCUGUAGUAGGUCCCAAGGGUUGGGCUGUUCGCCCAUUAAAGCGGUACGCGAGCUGGGUUCAGAACGUCGUGAGACAGUUCGGUCCCUAUCCGGCGUGGGCGUAGGAUAUCUGAGAGGAGCUGUCCUUAGUACGAGAGGACCGGGAUGGACGGACCGCUGGUGUACCGGUUAGACUGCCAAGUCUACGGCCGGGUAGCCAAGUCCGGAAGGGAUAAACGCUGAAGGCAUCUAAGCGUGAAGCCCCCCUCAAGAUGAGAUGUCCCAUUCGAAAGAAGUAAACCCCCUUGAAGACGACGAGGUAGAUAGGGCAGGGGUGGAAGUG